GAAGGGAACACAAAUGGAGGAUAUCAUGGCCAGGGCAUCAGAUAUCAGAAACACCACAAAGGCAAUCCCCCUUAUACGCCUGUAGAUGCUCUCAUCAUCGCUGCGAUCCCUCUCAAAACUCCCUGAUAAGGUGAAUGCUGCAGUGAAGGUGACGGUGGUAAUAAGCGCUGCCACGACGGGUAGACUAUCGGCGAUCUCUUUAUAGUUCUUCUCUUCGACUUUGCUCUUUUGGUCUACCGUAUGCACUGUAUGCUUACUGUCGGCUAUUUCUUUUUGAUUCUUCUCUUCAACCGUGCCCUUUUGGUCCACCGGAUGGACCAUGUCCUGAAGGAGCUGCGGGUCACUGAAUCGCGCACCCUUAUUCGUCAAAUCAAUCACUACCUUGAACUGCAAAAACAAGUAGAACCUGUUAGAUCAUUUAGACGGACACCAAGAACAGGAGUGAAGGGUUUAAAGUACGUACCAUUUUGAUUACCAGGCGGUUCCUUGUGUUGGAUAGAGCGACAUCAAGAGCGGUUUGACCGCGGUUGUUGGUUGCACUAAGCUUGACUCUUGGACUGGACGACAACAUUUGUAUGAUGGCCAUGUCUCGAGAUAUUAUAGCUCGAUGCAGGGGAGUGUUCCCAUCCGAAUCCGGCUCGUUCAAGAGAUCAGUGAGACGAGGUGAUGUAGCCACAAAUCGGACCACUUGUUCUCUUCGUUUGCUGAUGGCUACGUGGAAGAAGUUGCUGCCCUCCCCGUCCCUCACCUCCGUACAACCGGAGCAUGUUUCGAUGAGAUGUUUGAUCACGUUCACAUGCCCGAAGCUUGCAGCGACAUGGAUUGCAGAGGCGCCACCAUUGUCUCGCACAUACGCGGUAGAUGGAUCAUUUUGUAGCAGAAGUCUCACCAUUUCAAGGUCUCCGCGGGCGGCUGCAAAGUGGAGAGGUACGAGUCCGGCGGCAUCGGCUUUUCGGGUUAAACUGGCCCUCUGCUGCAGCAACAUCCUUGUGAUUUCCACAGCUGAUAAAUCGGAAGACGUUGGAAAAGGUUGUGGGAUCCACCAAUAAACUAAAAGCUUAUAUUAAACAUGAGUAUUUAUAAUCUUUUAGAAGAUUCAAUCUUAUUUCCUUUCUGAAUUACGUAUGACUAAGACUCUUAAAUCAAAAUCUUAUUAAUUUAAUAUUUCAAGAAACCCAUAUAAAAAAUAUAUUGUCAAACCUUUCGUUUGAAAUAAACGAAAUUAAUUAUACACUAAGGAAACUACUAUUGGAACAAUCUACUGUUCUAAUUCAUAAGAGAGAGUCAGUCUUAAUUGAAACAGAUGGAUAUUUCUAUGUCUAUAAGAUUUAACAGUACAAUUUGACACAGAGGGUUCGUGUGAUCGAUCGACUUACGGUGGCUCCUGAGGACGGCUGAGUGCAAAGCCGUCCGCCCAUUGGGUCCGUCGCAUGACGCCUCCGUCGCCGCCAGCAAACGCCGCACGAUCGACGCUGACCCGCUUUCCACCGCCAUAUAGAGGGGCGACACGCCGUUGACGUUGUUGGUCACCGCCGAUACGCCCGGAGCCUUCGCCAUCAGUUCCUCGACGAAGGAAUCGUGGCCGUUCAGUGCCGCCUCGUGCAAGGCUGUGUUACCAACGUUGUUUACCAUGUAGGGCAGCCGACGUUCAGGAUCGCCCCGACGGGGAGGGUGAGGGAUGAAGACAUCCACCAUGGGCGUGUGGCCGGCUCUGGCAGCGCAGUGCAUCGGAGUGUCUCCUUGUCCGUUUUGGAUCAUGAGGAGGAAGGGCUGCCGGUUGAGGACUCCGGUGGCGAAGUCAGUGUGUCCUAGCUUGGCUGCAAUGUGAAGCACGGUGUUCCUUUCGGCCGUGACUUGAAGGAGGGAGUCGUUGCCUCCGAGUACGCUCAUGUCGCCCGUCCUCGCUGCCACCAACAAUUCAUGGCUCAUCGGAGUAGCAAAUAAGCCAGGGAGUGGUUCCAUGGCCUCCUCCUCUCCUUGUCGAGAUACUCUUUAACUAUUAUAAAGUAACCCAAGACGAUAUGCCGUCGAUAAGAAUGCGUUUGUGUGAUAUGGUUCUAACUCAUUCGAUGUUAAUGUCAGUGUGUCUCUAAACAGUGCGAUAAAGAAUUAAACUGAAACUUGGUAGUUGGUAAUCUUUGACCCAUUCUCCAAAACAUGUCUGAACAGAGUCAAUGUAAAACCAGCCGACUCCCAAGUCUUUCUUAUUGUGGAUGACAGUAGCCAACACAUGAUCAAGCCAUGAGAUGGUUUGGAUGGGAAGUCCCCAUCGAUCGUCCAUCAUCUGCAUAGAAUAGAAUAGAACAGCGGCACAGACAUCCCGUUCCAGUGGGAGUUUCUGAUUUCUUAUGACAGUGCCACAAUACCUGCCUUCUCCUCUCACACAAACCACACUACUGUUUUGUGAAAAAUGAUACUUAUAACCAUGCUUUUCUAUAUACAAACAAGCAAAUGUAGUCUCUUGAUGUUAAGUUAGCACACAUUGCUAAGAUUGCCCAAAUCGAAGUACAUCUUGAUUGUCACAUCCGUUCCUCCCUCUACUCUUCUAAUCUGUUAUGCGACCAUAUUAACUGCCCUCUUUAGUUAUUCUUCGUUUUUGAGUUCAAUUAAUUCUUCUCCUUCUAAUCCUUUGAAAUAGUCCCUACGGUCGGUAGCCUAAUAGAUCUCGCUCGAGCCCCAAUUUCAUCUUUGUUCGCUUUCUUUUCGGCAUUGGUAGAUGAAACCAACAUAUUAGAUGAGAAGAAAAAAAAAAGACUUGCAUGAUAAAAGAAGUCACGUCAAUAUAAAUGAAUGCAUUUGACCAAAUUUCAAAGUAAACCACAUAAGUUAGCCACAGAUAUUAGCUAGCUAGGAGCCUCGCAAUUAAGUUGACCAACUCAACUAUCGUGAAUCGGAACAUCUGACUCGGAUAACCAACUCAAAUCCUAUCUCAAUCUCAUUCUAAUCUAAUCAUAGUAUAAAUUACUCAGUGGUAGAAGAACAAUACUGUGCUGGUUGAAGUUGCAGCCAUAUAUAAAUAAAGAACCCACUGGCCGUCUUUGAGCUGUUCAUCGAAAGGUUUUAUGUUGUUAGAAUGGCAGGACAUACUCGACACAUCAAAUACAAUUUGAUGCGUCAACUGCUGACGGAAUCAGACGGUGCUUUCUGAAUAGUUAAAUGAAAUAUUAAUAAUUCUGUCUCAAUCUGCUCUAAUCGUAGUAUAAAAUAUUCCAAGGUAAGAGAACGUACUCUACUUCGCUGGUUAAAGUCGCAGCUUUGGACAACCUUUAAUAAAGUCGACGAAGUUUCGGGAACAAAAAUUCUUUUUUUCUCUCCACCUUUAGCCAUUUUUCUAGUGCAAGCAUAUGAGACAAUAUGAGUCUUUUCAACUCCGGAAAUAUCCCAUUAUUACCAUAAAAUGCUUCGUCCACAACAUUGAUUAAAUCCAUACCACUUAUCUCAACAAUCUCAAGAUCGAGUAGUCCUCCGAGUGAUGGUAGCUUUUUACAUCUCUUAAGAUUGAUUAGUUUGAUCUCUUUCAACUUGUGGAGAUAGUUAAACCCCUCUUUUAUCUAUACAGGGAAUUCUUCACCAACAUAUAAAAUAAUCUCUAAUUUUUUCAAGUUUGGAUUGGGUUGGAGGCCUUCAAGUAAUUGUAGCGAAACUAAUUCUGAAGUUAUCAUAUUUUCCCUAUUUACCCAUUUCUAAUGUAACUUCAAAUACAUGAGUUACGGAAGUAUAUCAUGCAACUUUAAAUAAGUCAAAGUAUCUUCUGAAUUUGACACUUGUUCGAGGUUUUAUAACUAUAAUUCAUUUAGAUUCAUCAACGAUUCCAACUUUAAGAAGGCAUUUCCAAGAUCACCAACUACGAUAUGUCCAGACAACUUCAGGAGAUUACUCAUCUGACUUAUUCCGUAUGAUAUUUGAUUCAAUGGACAUCUAUAUACAUUAAGAUUUGUCAGCUUUUUCAUAUUAUUCAAACCCUCAGGCAAUUCGAUAAGCCAUUGUUAACUUUUCAGGUCUAACUCUUGCAGAUUUAUAAGGUUGGUGACCGAAAUAGGUUGCCUCUGAAGUUUUAAAACAUGCAAGUUCUCAAGAUUAUUUAUUCGCUUCGGUAGUUUCUAAAGCUUUUCAUAAUAAACUAGAUUUAAUACUCAUAAAUUUCUGAGCUUGCAUAAGGAUUUAGUAAGUGCUUGGAUCUCGGACCGGGAAAGAUUGAGGUAUCUCAAGAUAAGCAACUUGCCCACCGAAUUAGGUAGCUGUUCGACUUUGAUGACUCGUAAAUAUAAUACACAUAGAUGUAUAAGAUUGGUAAACAUACCUUCCGGAAUUUGUAGGAUAUGAUAUUUAUAUUAAAGAUCCAUCUCUUGUUGUAAUAGCAAACCUCUCAACUGAUUUAUCCCAUCGAAUAAGGUCGUCGGAAAUGUGAUCGUAUUGGAAUCGAUGAACAUACGUAAAUAAAGAUAUUGUCGUGGUAUUGUUGAAUUUGAUAAAACCCCCCUCAAGUCAUAGCAAUGUUUUGUGGUAAUAAAUAAAAAAUACAUAUCAUCAUAGACGUGGAACUCCAGAUUUGCCUUUAAUGGUGCCUUCGACGUCUGAAUACGGCAGAAAGCCUUCAGCAGCUAAGACGUGCAAGAAGUCCUCAUAAUUGGUCUUGCCAUCUUGUACGAUCAACCAGCGGUACAACACCAAUCGUGUCAUCGUAGGUGUCAUGUAAUGAAGAAAAAUUAAAGUCGUAUCCUGGUUGUGCAUCGCUUUCACCCACUGACGCAUAAUUAGAGCAUAAAUUUGUUGUUGCCAUCGAUUCAUUUCAGUAUAUCUGAAUACGGAGCCAAAAAUCUUCGCCUCCGUGGGAGACCAAUCAUUUAAAUAAUAAAAUAAUAGUUUCUCUUACAGGAUUGAAUUAUGGCGUUUGCUUGCUCGUGUUGAUCAGGCCGGAUGAGUGCUUGUCUCAUGCACAAUUUUGCCCACUCAUCCUCCGAUAGGCCGCUGAAUUGCCACGUUCGGACGGACGACCCCAAUAUAUCCAGAAUAAAAAACAAGUUAGGAAUGACCACCGCGGUAAUCCCCGAUGCGCCGACGAGCAAUAGAAAGUUCUCCAAUUGGAGCCACUUAUCCUUGUCCUCCUCCCCUAUGUUGAGAUCAUCCAGAACGAGGAAGUAUUUGCUUACAUGGAUUCCAUCGUAGAAUAGUCAAACGUCAUCGCAUGGUUCCCCGGUUAUUGAACUCAUGAAUUCUCUCGUAGAUUUAAUGUUAGGGACAUCCACCCUUUAUAACGGGAUAAGAUAUAUAUAAUAUAACUAAUUGAAUUCUAUGAAAUAUUUUGGUCAAUAGAAAAGAAAUCCACUUAAAAUAGGAUUCCUUAGGAGAUAACUUUUUGAUGGGAGGAAAUCUCUAAAUUAUUUAUCUUAGACUCUCUGCUCUCGCCUAUAAAUAGAUAAGACUUCUAGGGACUAAAGAGAGAAUAUCUCAUAGAGGUUAUAGUUGAGGGAUUAUAGUAUUCCCCCCAACUCUUCUCCUUAAACCAUCAAUCUAGGUUGUCCUGUGACAGAAUGAUCAAACAUAGAUCUCUUUUCAGAUGGCAUCAAAAGGUACGCAUUGUUAAACUAGAUCUAAGUAUUUGAUUUCAAUUCUGGUAUAAUAGAUUAUUUUUAUAUUUAAUUCAGCAUAUUAUAGUUUUUUUAUGUUUACAUCAACUUGAGUGGCUUUACUAGUUUGCAUGUGAGUGCCCAUUCAUUUUUUUCAAAACAGUCACAUAUUAUUGUUGCCCAUUAUAUAUAGUAAUGUUAAUUUUAUCAUAUUAUCUUGCUACGGCAAUUCAAUAUUUGCUUUAUCCACUCUAAUACUACUCUGUUAUGUCCUUAGCUAGAAUUGCUUAAGGCGUAUGGUAUCCAAAUGAUGAGUCCGAAAGGGUUAACCUAGACCUUAACUUUAUGCAGUAUAUAAAGAACCUGUAUAAUGAAAAAAAAUGUUAAAAAGGUGAAUGUAGGGGUAAUUUAUCAUUGUUGCAUAAAAAAGGGCAAGAUAAUCGACAUUCAAAGUAACACAAAGUAAUUGGUGUUUAUUAGACUCGAAAGGGUCUCAAAAAUAGGCAGAACGAGUGCACACAAAGGAGAUUCCGAAGGUAGAUGUAGGCCUAAUAUUUGCCACUUGGGGGGGGGGGGGUUCUAAAGUGCUGAGACAACUGAUAUUUCAUAUCGCUAGGCCAUCAACCAAAAAUCAACUGACAUUUCAUAUCGUUAGACCAUCAACCAAAAAUCAACUCCUAGCACGUGAGAACAAUAUAGUUUUAGGUCAUUUUCCGCUUUGGUGCCGCACAACCAAAAAUAUUUUUAAGUUUUACAUGAUAAAAACAUAAAAUAAAAACACUGAUAAUAAACAAAAAAGGGGUUGAGUAUAGUGUUUUAUGUCUCGUACAGGUUGUCCUAAAGAAAACAUCGAAAAUACGAAGAAAACAACAUAAAACAAGAAUUGAAAAUUAUCAUGGACAAAUGAUGAAUACCUUGUCAUGUGACUGACACAUGAUUGACACAUCAACAACCACUUUUAUGUAUCGAUCAUGAUUAUAAUGGUAUAAAAAAUCCAUUAUAAAGGAGUUUCCCAAGUAUUUUCAUGAAACUUUUUUCAAUAUUAUUAAAGUUAUUGGUUGAAUACUUCAAGUCCAAAAUAAACUUAAGCAUCAAAAAAACAUUUAUUGAGAAUGCCCCUAAAAUAGUUCUAUGAAGAACAAUAUGGUUCAACCACUUCGAAAUUGAUAGGAUUCAACCUCAUCCGGAUCCAAUGGGUUUGGCACCUUCAAGGUUGAACGAGUGUGGUGUCGAUUGAGACAAAUUAUGACAAAUAUAAAAUGAACCUCGGGUAGCUUUGAAUAUGUAGCCAGACAAAUUAUGACAAAUGUACAACCGAAUUCUAUGCUAAUAACAUAUAAGUGAUGAAAUAAAUUAGAUGCUUGAUCCAAAAUUUUAGCUAUAGACCCUCAAUCUUUGUUUCCUACACUUAUCUUGAAUAUAUUCGAUCUGAUAAUGACUUCCAUAAACGUGGUUUUGUAUAGACUAGCAUAAAUUUUAGUUCGAUUCUAAAAUUUGAAAUCAAUCAAUUAAUUUUAAGAAGAGAUUUGUAAUUAAAGACCUUUAUGUGUUUCUUGUUGAUAGGACGUGACUUGUUUGUAAUGAAAAGAAAAUAUUUAAAUUUGACUAACAUUUUGAGAAAGAGAUUAUGAUGCAAGAAUGAAGAAAAAAAAAGUUGAAAAUAUAACAUUUUCCUUCCUUUAAAUUUUUUUACUUAUAUUAAAUUAGUGUGAGAAAAUUAGGGUGCACCCUUUGAGAAAUAUGAAAAAGGUCGCAUCUCCCAAGAAAAGUCUAGAAAUUCACCCAAAUUUAUUCUCAGCGAGUGUUCCAAAGGAGAAAAAAAUAUAUAAUAUACUCAAAUUCUUGAGUUUUGAACUGUUCUUAUUUGAAUAGUCACAAUCAUAUUCAUGAAAAUAUAAAAGAUCAAAAAGGAGUGGUAAAAAAACAAAAAAAUCUUAUAAAUUAUAUUAAAAAUGCAUUUAUCAUAAUUUUAUUAUAUUAUUAAAAAGUACAUUAUAUAUUAUUACACAGAUUAGAUAAGAAAUAUUGUAUAUUAUAUAAGAUUUGGUUUAACAUAAUGUAUUGAGUGAGAAUAUUUUCAAGAAAUGAUGCCAAUGUUAAUAUUUUCUUAAAUCGGAUUUGGAAGGGAUAGUUAGAUCACAUUGCAAUUAAUUUAGUGAUCAGCAAGGGAAGAGUGUCAUUCCUUAUCAGGAUCUCUUAUCCACGUUUAGAGUUGGAAAUAACAAUACCAAGCAAGAGCCGUAAGCUCUUGAAACAAGCCCAUGUCUCGAGAUGUGUUAUUUUCAGGCCGAAGUUCUUCGAUAACAUUAACAACCUGUUUUUUGUUUUUGAAUUUCUAAAGAAAAACAUGUAUAAUUAAUAUUAAAAACAUAUAUAAUUUCCAAAUCAAAACAUGAAGCUCCAAAGAAAACCCCUCGACCCAAAAAUUUCCAUAGCCACUUACUUUAGCGGCAUUCGCUAGCAUGAUGAAGUCAUUGUGAAUUUAUAAGACUUAGAUCUUGUGAAUUUAUACAAGCACUUUAUUCUUUAGAUGCUUCCCUAUCGAUCGUAAAGUCUUGUGAAUUUAUAAGAGUUAGAUAUUGAAGGAUGUCAAUGAUUCGUCAAGUCUAUAUAUAUCCAUUGGCUUAAAUGUGGAAUACGAGCACUUUAUUCUUUAGAUGCUCCCCUAUCGACUGCAAAGUUUUGUGAAUUUAUAAGAGUUAGAUCUUGAAGGAUGUCAAUGAUUCGUCAAGUCUAUAGAUGUCCAUUGGCUUAAAUGUCGCAGGGAAUAGAGAAGAUGGGUAACCUCCUAACAUUGUCUUAGUUAACAGUCGAAACACUAUCACAGAGUUGUAGUCAUUAAGAGAUUCAAAAGAACGGCAUCUACAAAACCUCCCUACUCCUUUAAAGUUGCACAACUUACUUAUGCAUUGCAUUCGAAAUGGUUAAAUAUGACAUUUGAAUUGUAAGUAUUUGGAGGUCUCCAACACAACCCAAAAUUGAAAAAAAUUAGAAAUCAUUUCAUAUGCUGACAAGAGAUUCCCAAUAUGAAUAAAAGCGAUUUUUUGAUGUCUCUAUAAUCUGAAAGUGAUCAAACUCAACAGAAACUAAUUGGUCUCGAGAUUAUUAAGAUAAAUGUUGGCAUAACCAUGCGACGAGUUGCUACUUAUUGAUGAGGUGCAUCUGUCAUACAUAUAAGCACAUUGCGGAUAAUGGUCAAAUUAACAUUAUUACUUGUUGAUGAGGUCAAAUUUGGAUCGUCCAUCUGUGGAAGAAAACCAUUCGAGCCUAUCUAUCACCACAGCAACAUAUUCUUCAAGUUUGCAGCGAGGUAGAGUGAUACAGGUCGUGACCACCAAUCAUCCCUCGCUCGGGUACUGCUCAGGAUUUUGUGAUGGAGAAGCCCCACACACCGGGAAACUUGAUGAAGUCUACUGCUAAUUCAUAGUUGGCAAUUCGUAUCAGCCUAUGCCGGGCGAUCAUUAAUCUAGCGUAAAUGAUCUGGAACUCACUCCCUCUAGUCAACCGACAUAGGUAAGGGUAGUAAGGAAGGAUCCUUCUCUUGAGGAUUGGAAUAGAGAGCAGAAUCACGAGCCAGAUGAGGAUGAUGAGCCAGUGAUCCGCAAGAAGCACACACACACCACUGGCGAAUGCUACCGUGAACCCUAUGAACGCAACCUGCAGUAAUAUUUCGGAAAGAGUAAGACAGUUGACCUGGGUAACAGGAGUUCCUACUCGCACAAAGAUGACGAGGAAGGGAACACAAAUGGCGGUUAUCAUGGCCAGGGCAUCAAAUAUCAGAAACACCACGAAGGCAAUCCCCCUUAUACGCAUGUAGAUGCUGCCAUAAUCGCUGCGAUCCAUCUUAAAACUACUUGACAAGGUGAAUGCUGCAGUGAAGGUGGCGGUGGUAAUAAGCGCUGCCACGACGGGUAGACUAUCGGCGAUCUCUUUAUAGUUCUUCUCUUCGACUUUGCUCGUUUGGUCUACCGUAUGCACUGUAUGCCUACUGUCGGCUAUUUCUUUAUGAUUCUUCUCUUCGACCGUGCCCUUUUGGUCUGAUGGACCAUGUCCUGAAGGAGCUGCGGGUCACUGAAUCGCGCACCC
rnacentral:lncRNA from 1 species